GUCUGGCGGCUAGAGCAAAUUCGUUGUCGAAACAUUAAAAACAUUUUAGUAGUUUUUUUCCUGGAUUCGCAGGGUUUUUGUUAAUUUUAUUCUAGUUGAGUGGUCUGAGUGGUAGAAUUAUUCAUUUGGUGCCAUUUUUUCAAUAUUUGUCGGCAUGCGGGACGCUCAGAAGUGCGUUAUUCCCGCGUGCGAAAGUCGUUCCUUUGUGGGUUGUCAGGUUAGUUUUUUCCCCGUUCCGACAACUGGACAAUGUGUAUCGCCGGUGGACAAAUUUCGGUCUCCGGAGACCGCAACGAAAGAAUCUGCAGCAAGCAUUUCGUCGAGAGCGAUUUCAUGCAAAAAACACGGAGCAAACUGAAACCGGAUGCCGUUCAUCUGUUAAAAUCUUUGUCGGAGGUGUGAGAACAGACCGGGGCAUUACGUGUUGUUUCCGGCAAUGGCCACCUAAAAGGAAAGCCAUCAUGCACUGUUUCCCGGGACGAAAACUAAUAAGGCGGCGAUGGAAAAUUAUUAUUGGGAUGAAAGACUCCGACGAUCCGACAGGCUUCCGGAUUUGCAGUCCCCAUUUCAAAACACAGACUUCACCAGAGCCUUUCCUGACAACCAUGGAUAAAUAGGAUACCAUAUAUGUUACACGAUAAACACUGCAUCCUGGAAGAUAUACAUCGACAUUAACCAGUGACCUGCAUCAUCCUAGUGGAGGUGCAGUUUAAUACCUACUUAUUAACGUUAUUUAAUUCCUCUUUUUUAUACAGCUUGGUCAAUAAACAAUACUGGGUGGGAA